rnacentral:rRNA from 1 species
GACGAACGCUGGCGGCGUGCUCAACACAUGCAAGUCGAACGGAAAGGCCCUGCUUGCAGGGUACUCGAGUGGCGAACGGGUGAGUAACACGUGGGUGAUCUGCCCUGCACUUCGGGAUAAGCCUGGGAAACUGGGUCUAAUACCGGAUAGGAGCCAUUUUUAGUGUGAUGGUUGGAAAGUUUUUUCGGUGUAGGAUGAGCUCGCGGCCUAUCAGCUUGUUGGUGGGGUAAUGGCCUACCAAGGCGGCGACGGGUAGCCGGCCUGAGAGGGUGGACGGCCACAUUGGGACUGAGAUACGGCCCAGACUCCUACGGGAGGCAGCAGUGGGGAAUAUUGCACAAUGGGCGCAAGCCUGAUGCAGCGACGCCGCGUGGGGGAUGACGGCCUUCGGGUUGUAAACUCCUUUCGCUAGGGACGAAGCUUUUGUGACGGUACCUAGAUAAGAAGCACCGGCUAACUACGUG